UCCUUACUAUACACAUAACAUAAAUAAAUAAUUACACGCCAUACUUAAGCAUUUAAUCAGUUAUGUAAUAUUGAAUAAUCGUAUAUCUAGAGUCGAUGCACAAUUAUAGCGUAAUCUCCAACAUCUAUUUAACAAGCUAGCGUCUAUUAUUAUACAUGUAUACUUAGUAAUUUAAUACUACUGUUAAGCAGUGACACUUAAACAACGCUAACUGGAAGAAUAAUCCUGGAAAUAUAAGCCCAUCUUAAUCGUCUCUUCAAACGACUGGCUGUGUGCAUAAGACUUCAUACAAUUUGCCUGUGUUAUGUAAGAUAAAACCAGGCAACAUUUAUCACUAAUUCGUGCAAAUUCCUUUGACAUUUAACAAUAAAAAUUUACAUUUAAGAUUAUUCUUCCGACGCAGAGAUCGUGUUGCAUUUCCAUUUUACGAUUACGUCAACGUGCGGGUAUCGUUCGUACCAUUUUCCAGUCCCGACUGCAACGAGUCAUCCUUGUCCUUCCUUGAGCAGCACAGCUGCAUGCUUUCGUCUUUUACGUUUCUUUCCUGGGAACAUCGCGAAUGAAAAAUGAUGCCAGUCGCGCGCGUCGGACUUGGGCGGGUAUUACAUAAAGAAACGAGAUCAGUUCGCCGUGCGAAGGCGGCUACAGAAAGCUUUUUCCCAUAAAAAGUUGAGAGAGAGAGAGAGAGAGAGAGAGAGAGAGAGAGAGAGAGAGAAGGGGGAGGAAAGGAGAGAAUGAAAGAGAGAGAGAGAGAGAGAGGGGAACUGCCCUCGGAAACGACUUCUCCACCGAGUAGCCGGAGCUAUCCCGACGGUAUAUAAACAACGCAUGCAUAUAACGACGAUGUUGCAGGUGCUGGAAGUUAGCGGCCCAGCGGCAAAUAACGCAAAAAGUAUGACGUAUUAGAAACAGGAUUAUCAGAGCGUAAUAAUUAUUGAGGAACCGAAAAAGGAAGUGUAAAGCUGUGCGCAAUGUGAAGUAUUACGCGUACAACACUGGAUGAUAAAGCACGGAUUGGAUAAUCGCUUAUGUAUGGAGUCUCGUCAAUCCGUUCUUGACUUUUUGAUUUACAGCGUUAAAUCGUUGCGUGUAUGCAAACGAUUACGAUUAUAACGUGAACCUGCAUGAGGAUGUUAUCAUAAAAAAAAAAGUAUUUUUGCAAACACCGUGUGUAUAUUGAACACACGCAUAAUAAAUCUCUGUUUUACAGAGAUUUCUGUCAUCAGGAGAAAUUCCAGUGCUUCCCCGAAGGCUGCGUGCUGACCUCUCGCAAGCACGCGGUUAACUUCUAUGUUUGGCACGUGGCUAUUGAUUUCCCAACGGUACCGGAAACCGGAAAACUGCCGCGCUCGAAAGAGAGAAACCGAAAAGAAAAUCGGAACGCCGAACAAGAUAAAGUAAUCUUCCAAUUGUGCCAGAUAGCUGAAACAAUUGUGCAGUUUAUCCCAUUGCGUCACGAGAUACUGUUUUAACCAUGUCGAGCGGUGAAAUGCGCAAAGGGAGUAACUACCGGCAUGUAUUCGGUUUUACGAUACCAUUCUGAUGUUGCAUUAAACGCACGCCGCUCGCGAAAGUCUUCAGUGAAGUUUAUCCAUUCUCGCGAUUUACACGAGACAGGCAUUGUUUCCGUGAAAACGAGGUUUACGAGAAACUAGACAAUGUUAAUAAAUUAAUGGAGCGUGUUUUGAUAUUCUGAUCAUUACUUGCGCGAGGUGACUCGAGAAAGUUACCGUGAACCAAAUAGUCCAAGUUAAUCUCGAGGACGUUGAGGAGAUUUACGUACUUUACCUUUAGAAUGCACGGCGCACGAAUGAAACAACAGAAUGAGCCAUUAGUUCUACAAUUCUUUUUCUCUUUAUAUUCUUUUAAUUUGCGAACGGAGGAUCUCCCACGUGAUAGUCGAGCUGUCACGCGAUUUCUCGCGAAUUCUAAAUACGAUAUCACAAUGGAAUAUUAGGAGAUGCGAAUACUCUAAUGAUGGGACAAUUCUGUAUUUAUACAAAGAUAUUGCAUCUUAUUAGCCAAUAAUAUUAACAAUUAUGUAAUAUCGAAAUUAUUGCUUAUAAUUAC